UACGUAGGGGGCAAGCGUUGUCCGGAAUUAUUGGGCGUAAAGCGCGUGUAGGCGGCUCGGUAAGUCUGCUGUGAAAGUCCAAGGCUCAACCUUGGAAUGCCGGUGGAUACUGUCGAGCUCGAGUCCGGAAGAGGCGAGUGGAAUUCCUGGUGUAGCGGUGAAAUGCGCAGAUAUCAGGAGGAACACCAGUGGCGAAGGCGGCUCGC
rnacentral:rRNA from 1 species